ACAUCCUUCUAGGUAGCUUUCUGCAAAGGGUUUGGUGAGAAGAACUUAUUUAUGCAAGAAUAAUUUUCAGGGUUUAUCAACACUGGCACUUUUUGCUUCUCUCCUCCCUCCAUCACAGGAUGUAGAAGAAGGCAUUGCUUGGAGGAGCCAUGAUAUUUUUAUGUGUGGAAAGAAGCAGAGUAACUGUGGGAGAAAACAAAGAGACACAACCAAAGGAAUUUGGGAAGUGAAGAGAAACUGCCUGGCCAAGGUGGCUUUGGCCACAAUAAAUAAAUUUAUUUGGAAACUAGCUGCAUCUAAAUGGUUUUGUCACAUGUUCAGUGUGAUGUAGAAACCUAGCACCUGCUGUUUACACAGUGGUACCUGGGCUCAGGCAGGAAAAAAUGGUAAAGAGAAGCUCUAACUCAACAGUAACAUGUUCAAACACCUUCAUUUCUAAAUGACGACAAGUAAGAAAGAUAUUUACAUUUAACUAAAACUGGAGAUAUACUAAAGCAGGGACAUGAGCUAAUUGUAUCAAAACAUCCAGUAGUUGUAGUUGCACCAGCAACCAUUUGCACCAGCUGAGAACAAAGUUCCUGAUUCACAGAAAUGCUGAGAACCUGCUGCUCCAGUUGAAGAGGCUGGGAGAGUGUACUUGGCAGAUCACCAAGUUCAGGCUGUUUGGAACCAAGUGGAAUGACAGACUUUGUGAGAGAGAAGCCUGCCAAGGCCCAGUCUUUCACAGAGAGGGAAUUUGGAUCACAUCCUGCUGAUCCCAGCUGUGGCAGCAUGGCCUGCGGAGCAAGAAGGACCCUCACAGAUGACUCAUAACCCACAAGUUAAAUUUCAUCCAAAGACAAUGGGCUGUCCGUGCAGAUUCCCUGGUGCUCACAUUAUGUAGUCCCAAUGAAAUGUCUUUGCAUGCUGAGCUGCCUUUUUCUUUUUUUUUUCUGUCAAAAACCCAGUUGAGCACAUGAUUAAAAUGAUUAAGUACUUUGCCAAAUGGGACUCACAAAACUUGACAUUUGUUAAAGAUAAAUCCAGGACACUCAGAGGCUAAGGGGUUGUUUAGGAUUACAAAUACCAUUUGUAUUUGAAACUAUAAUUUCCAGUUCCAGAAAGGUGUUAUUCAGUACAGAUAUGGAUUAAUAUUUAUACGAAAUAUCAGGCAAAAAAGCUUCCACAGUGAGAGGAGGCACAAUA
ensembl:lncRNA